rnacentral:ncRNA from 1 species
UAAAAAAUUUAUUAUUUUUAUAUUUUACAUGUAAAUUUUUGUGAGAUUUUAUUUUAUUCUUAAUGAAUAUUUUAAAUUUUUAAUCGCAGUAUUUUAUUUUAAAAAUUAAAGAAAUUUAGAUUUAGUAAUAAAAUUAAGUAUAGGUUAAUUUUGUGCCAGCAUCCGCGGUUAUACAAAUUAUAUAAAUAAAUUUUAUUAUUUUGUAGUUAAAUGUUAAAUGUAAAUUAAAUAUUAUUUUUAAAGGUGAAAUUUAUUAAAAUAAUUUAAAUUUAUUUAAUUUUUUUUUGAAGCUAUUAAAUUUUAUUAAUAAACUAGGAUUAGAUACCCUAUUAUUUAAAACUUAAAAUAAUAUAAAAAUUAGGUAGUAAUAGAUAUGAUCUUGAAACUUAAAAAAUUUGGCGGUAUUUUAGUCUAAUUAGAGGAAUCUGUUCCGUAAUCGAUAAUCCACGAUAAAUUUUACAUAAUUUUAUUUAAUUUGUAUAUCGUCGUUAUAAGAAAAUUUUAUAAGAAUAAAAAUUUUCUAAAAUUUUAAUUAAAAUUUAUUUCAGAUCAAGGUGCAAUUUAUAAUUAUGAGGAAAUGGAUUACAAUAAAUUUAUUUAAAUUGGAUAAUAAAAUGAAUUUUUUAUUUGAAAAUGGAUUUAAUAGUAAUUUAAAUUAUUUAAUUUUUUUGAUUUUAGCUCUAAAAUAUGUACAUAUCGCCCGUCACUCUCUUUAUUUAAAAAGAGAUAAGUCGUAACAAAGUAGAUGUACUGGAAAGUGUAUCUAGAAUGAU